CACAAGCAGUGGAGUAUGUGGUUUAAUUCGAAGCGACGCGAAGAACCUUACCAGGGCUUGACAUCCCUUGAAGCAGCUAGAGAUAGCUGUGUCCUUCGGGACAAGGAGACAGGUGGUGCAUGGUUGUCGUCAGCUCGUGUCGUGAGAUGUUGGGUUAAGUCCCGCAACGAGCGCAACCCCUGUGGUUAGUUGCCAGCAAGUAGCGUUGGGCACUCUAGCCAGACUGCCGGUGAUAAAUCGGAGGAAGGUGGGGACGACGUCAAAUCAUCAUGCCCUUUAUGUCCUGGGCUACACACGUACUACAAUGGCCGUUACAACGGGAAGCGAAGGAGCAAUCCGGAGCAAAUCCCUUAAAGGCGGUCCCAGUUCAGAUUGUGGGCUGAAACUCGCCCACAUGAAGGCGGAAUUGCUAGUAAUUGCAGAUCAGCAUGCUGCCAGUCGAAUACGUUCCGGGCCUU
rnacentral:rRNA from 1 species